GAAAUACUUGCAUUAAAUUUUUUUUUAAAUUUCUAUAUAUCAAAAUCUGUACGUAUAAAGUAACACACUUUACUCCCGACCUCUCAACUUUAAACGAAAACACUCGAACUUCAUGCUCCAGAUUAGAACCGCGCUAAUACAAUUCUAAGCAGAGCAGAGCAGAACCGCUUAGUAGUCUGUCCUUCCUUGUCAAUUGGUGUCCUUCACCUCAGACAUCCAUUUUAAUUAGUGCUGACGCCGAUUGAACGAAUGACUAACUGUCUAACUGAAUAAGCAACAGAUCAACCAAGCUUAGACAACACAUAAACAUACCUACACAUAAGCAUACAUACAUACAAACUAAUAUACAUAAGUACAUUAUGUGGCGCUGCUGGAGAGGCGGAAAAAUGCUAGGCGCAGCGCGGCGCAAAGGCAACAAAGUGGCGCGCUCAUUUAAGGCCACCGCAGUACUAAAAAUCAAACCAAGCUCACAUUCAAUGCGCCAGCGUUCACGCUCAUAAAUGGAGUUCAAUGUUUUAUUCUAAUUAACUCAGAGUCAGCGGCGCUCACAUACACACAGUUACUACGGCUUAAGCUGGUUGAGUGUGUACUCCAGCGCGAAUUGCACCAAAUAAUCAUAAUCAUUACAACUGUGCGAAACAAAAACAAAGACGAGACAGAGAACUACUGACAGUUGUCAAGUGACAAAUGCUCUAAUGGCAGCAAUAAAUUGAAAUAAAGAAAGAAAAACAAAAAAAUGGCAGCAAAUUAAGGCGACACCGACGGCGAUGGCGCACGGUUUCGUUGUCAGCGCCGCGUGCACGAUUGUAGGUGUGAUUAGUGCCAUACUGGGACAAAUUGUGUCAGUGUUAUCGGCAAACUCUUGGCCGUCGCCCCCCGCAACGGCAGCGGCGCAUCAGAUAGGUGGGUAUUAAUAAAAC